GAGUUUGAUCCUGGCUCAGGAUGAACGCUAGCGGCAGGCUUAACACAUGCAAGUCGAGGGGUAACAGGGUAGCAAUACUGCUGACGACCGGCGCACGGGUGAGUAUCGCGUAUGCAACCUACCUUUAACUGGAGAAUAGCUUCGAGAAAUCGGAAUUAAUACUCCAUAACAUUUUAGAAAGGCAUCUUUCAGAAAUUAAAGCUACGGUGGUUAAAGAUGGGCAUGCGUAACAUUAGCUAGUUGGUGAGGUAACGGCUCACCAAGGCUACGAUGUUUAGGGGGUCUUAAAGGAUGAUCCCCCACACUGGUACUGAGACACGGACCAGACUCCUACGGGAGGCAGCAGUGAGGAAUAUUGGUCAAUGGACGCAAGUCUGAACCAGCCAUGCCGCGUGCAGGAUGAAGGCCUUACAGGUCGUAAACUGCUUUUAUACGGGACGAAACCCUUGAACGUGUUCGAGGCUGACGGUACUGUAUGAAUAAGCAUCGGCUAACUCCGUGCCAGCAGCCGCGGUAAUACGGAGGAUGCAAGCGUUAUCCGGAUUUAUUAGGUUUAAAGGGUGCGUAGGCGGAAUAAUAAGUCAGUGGUGAAAUCCUGCAGCUUAACUGUAGAACUGCCAUUGAAACUGCUAUUCUUGAGUCUAGUUGAAGUGGGCGGAAUGUGUCAUGUAGCGGUGAAAUGCAUAGAUAUGACACAGAACACCGAUUGCGUAGGCAGCUCACUAAACUACAACUGACGCUGAGGCACGAAAGCGUGGGGAUCAAACAGGAUUAGAUACCCUGGUAGUCCACGCCGUAAACGAUGAUUACUCGAUGUAUGCGAUAAACUGUAUGCGUCUGAGCGAAAGCAUUAAGUAAUCCACCUGGGGAGUACGAUCGCAAGAUUGAAACUCAAAGGAAUUGACGGGGGCCCGCACAAGCGGAGGAACAUGUGGUUUAAUUCGAUGAUACGCGAGGAACCUUACCUGGGCUUAAAUGCAGUAUGACUUUUCUGGAAACAGAUUUUCUCUUCGGAGCAGAUUGCAAGGUGCUGCAUGGUUGUCGUCAGCUCGUGCCGUGAGGUGUCGGGUUAUUCCCAUAACGAGCGCAACCCCUAUUAUUAGUUGCCAGCGGGUAAUGCCGGGGACUCUAAUAAGACUGCCAGUGUAAACUGUGAGGAAGGUGGGGAUGACGUCAAAUCAGCACGGCCCUUACGUCCAGGGCUACACACGUGUUACAAUGGCCGGUACAAAGAGCAGCUACUUAGUGAUAAGGUGCUAAUCUCAAAAACCGGUCUCAGUUCGGAUCGAAGUCUGCAAUUCGACUUCGUGAAGCUGGAUUCGCUAGUAAUCGUAGAUCAGCAAUGCUACGGUGAAUACGUUCCCGGGCCUUGUACACACCGCCCGUCAAGCCAUGGAAGCUGGGGGUACCUAAAGUUCGUAACCGUAAGGAGCGACCUAGGGUAAAACUAGUGACUGGGGCUAAGUCGUAACAAGGUA
rnacentral:rRNA from 1 species